GCGUCGAUAGUUUAAGGGUAGAAUGUGAGCUUCCCAGUCUAGGAAUAGAUUGGGGUCUGCGGUAACGUGGACUUCAAAAACGUGUUUGCUCACGGUCCGGGUUCGAGUCCCGGUCGACGCA
rnacentral:tRNA from 1 species